rnacentral:rRNA from 1 species
AGUGAAUGCUGGCGGUAGGCCUAACACAUGCAAGUCGUACGGCAGCACAGUAAGAGCUUGCUCUUACGGGUGGCGAGUGGCGGACGGGUGAGGAAUACAUCGGAAUCUACUUUUUCGUGGGGGAUAACGUAGGGAAACUUACGCUAAUACCGCAUACGACCUACGGGUGAAAGCAGGGGAUCUUCGGACCUUGCGCGAUUGAAUGAGCCGAUGUCGGAUUAGCUAGUUGGCGGGGUAAAGGCCCACCAAGGCGACGAUCCGUAGCUGGUCUGAGAGGAUGAUCAGCCACACUGGAACUGAGACACGGUCCAGACUCCUACGGGAGGCAGCAGUGGGGAAUAUUGGACAAUGGGCGCAAGCCUGAUCCAGCCAUACCGCGUGGGUGAAGAAGGCCUUCGGGUUGUAAAGCCCUUUUGUUGGGAAAGAAAAGCAGCAGGUUAAUACCCCGCUGUUCUGACGGUACCCAAAGAAUAAGCACCGGCUAACUUCGUG